GGUUAAGCGACUAAGCGUACACGGUGGAUGCCCUGGCAGUCAGAGGCGAUGAAGGACGUGCUAAUCUGCGAUAAGCGUCGGUAAGGUGAUAUGAACCGUUAUAACCGGCGAUUUCCGAAUGGGGAAACCCAGUGUGUUUCGACACACUAUCAUUAACUGAAUCCAUAGGUUAAUGAGGCGAACCGGGGGAACUGAAACAUCUAAGUACCCCGAGGAAAAGAAAUCAACCGAGAUUCCCCCAGUAGCGGCGAGCGAACGGGGAGCAGCCCAGAGCCUGAAUCAGUGUGUGUGUUAGUGGAAGCGUCUGGAAAGGCGCGCGAUACAGGGUGACAGCCCCGUACACAAAAAUGCACAUGCUGUGAGCUCGAUGAGUAGGGCGGGACACGUGGUAUCCUGUCUGAAUAUGGGGGGACCAUCCUCCAAGGCUAAAUACUCCUGACUGACCGAUAGUGAACCAGUACCGUGAGGGAAAGGCGAAAAGAACCCCGGCGAGGGGAGUGAAAAAGAACCUGAAACCGUGUACGUACAAGCAGUGGGAGCACGCUUCGGCGUGUGACUGCGUACCUUUUGUAUAAUGGGUCAGCGACUUAUAUUCUGUAGCAAGGUUAACCGAAUAGGGGAGCCGAAGGGAAACCGAGUCUUAACUGGGCGUUAAGUUGCAGGGUAUAGACCCGAAACCCGGUGAUCUAGCCAUGGGCAGGUUGAAGGUUGGGUAACACUAACUGGAGGACCGAACCGACUAAUGUUGAAAAAUUAGCGGAUGACUUGUGGCUGGGGGUGAAAGGCCAAUCAAACCGGGAGAUAGCUGGUUCUCCCCGAAAGCUAUUUAGGUAGCGCCUCGUGAAUUCAUCUCCGGGGGUAGAGCACUGUUUCGGCAAGGGGGUCAUCCCGACUUACCAACCCGAUGCAAACUGCGAAUACCGGAGAAUGUUAUCACGGGAGACACACGGCGGGUGCUAACGUCCGUCGUGAAGAGGGAAACAACCCAGACCGCCAGCUAAGGUCCCAAAGUCAUGGUUAAGUGGGAAACGAUGUGGGAAGGCCCAGACAGCCAGGAUGUUGGCUUAGAAGCAGCCAUCAUUUAAAGAAAGCGUAAUAGCUCACUGGUCGAGUCGGCCUGCGCGGAAGAUGUAACGGGGCUAAACCAUGCACCGAAGCUGCGGCAGCGACACUGUGUGUUGUUGGGUAGGGGAGCGUUCUGUAAGCCUGUGAAGGUGUACUGUGAGGUAUGCUGGAGGUAUCAGAAGUGCGAAUGCUGACAUAAGUAACGAUAAAGCGGGUGAAAAGCCCGCUCGCCGGAAGACCAAGGGUUCCUGUCCAACGUUAAUCGGGGCAGGGUGAGUCGACCCCUAAGGCGAGGCCGAAAGGCGUAGUCGAUGGGAAACAGGUUAAUAUUCCUGUACUUGGUGUUACUGCGAAGGGGGGACGGAGAAGGCUAUGUUGGCCGGGCGACGGUUGUCCCGGUUUAAGCGUGUAGGCUGGUUUUCCAGGCAAAUCCGGAAAAUCAAGGCUGAGGCGUGAUGACGAGGCACUACGGUGCUGAAGCAACAAAUGCCCUGCUUCCAGGAAAAGCCUCUAAGCAUCAGGUAACAUCAAAUCGUACCCCAAACCGACACAGGUGGUCAGGUAGAGAAUACCAAGGCGCUUGAGAGAACUCGGGUGAAGGAACUAGGCAAAAUGGUGCCGUAACUUCGGGAGAAGGCACGCUGAUAUGUAGGUGAAGUCCCUUGCGGAUGGAGCUGAAAUCAGUCGAAGAUACCAGCUGGCUGCAACUGUUUAUUAAAAACACAGCACUGUGCAAACACGAAAGUGGACGUAUACGGUGUGACGCCUGCCCGGUGCCGGAAGGUUAAUUGAUGGGGUUAGCGGUAACGCGAAGCUCUUGAUCGAAGCCCCGGUAAACGGCGGCCGUAACUAUAACGGUCCUAAGGUAGCGAAAUUCCUUGUCGGGUAAGUUCCGACCUGCACGAAUGGCGUAAUGAUGGCCAGGCUGUCUCCACCCGAGACUCAGUGAAAUUGAACUCGCUGUGAAGAUGCAGUGUACCCGCGGCAAGACGGAAAGACCCCGUGAACCUUUACUAUAGCUUGACACUGAACAUUGAGCCUUGAUGUGUAGGAUAGGUGGGAGGCUUUGAAGUGUGGACGCCAGUCUGCAUGGAGCCGACCUUGAAAUACCACCCUUUAAUGUUUGAUGUUCUAACGUUGACCCGUAAUCCGGGUUGCGGACAGUGUCUGGUGGGUAGUUUGACUGGGGCGGUCUCCUCCUAAAGAGUAACGGAGGAGCACGAAGGUUGGCUAAUCCUGGUCGGACAUCAGGAGGUUAGUGCAAUGGCAUAAGCCAGCUUGACUGCGAGCGUGACGGCGCGAGCAGGUGCGAAAGCAGGUCAUAGUGAUCCGGUGGUUCUGAAUGGAAGGGCCAUCGCUCAACGGAUAAAAGGUACUCCGGGGAUAACAGGCUGAUACCGCCCAAGAGUUCAUAUCGACGGCGGUGUUUGGCACCUCGAUGUCGGCUCAUCACAUCCUGGGGCUGAAGUAGGUCCCAAGGGUAUGGCUGUUCGCCAUUUAAAGUGGUACGCGAGCUGGGUUUAGAACGUCGUGAGACAGUUCGGUCCCUAUCUGCCGUGGGCGCUGGAGAACUGAGGGGGGCUGCUCCUAGUACGAGAGGACCGGAGUGGACGCAUCACUGGUGUUCGGGUUGUCAUGCCAAUGGCACUGCCCGGUAGCUAAAUGCGGAAGAGAUAAGUGCUGAAAGCAUCUAAGCACGAAACUUGCCCCGAGAUGAGUUCUCCCUGACUCCUUGAGAGUCCUGAAGGAACGUUGAAGACGACGACGUUGAUAGGCCGGGUGUGUAAGCGCAGCGAUGCGUUGAGCUAACCGGUACUAAUGAACCGUGAGGCUUAACCUU
rnacentral:rRNA from 1 species